GAUGAACGCUGGCGGCGUGCCUAAUACAUGCAAGUCGAGCGAACAGACGAGGAGCUUGCUCCUCUGACGUUAGCGGCGGACGGGUGAGUAACACGUGGAUAACCUACCUAUAAGACUGGGAUAACUUCGGGAAACCGGAGCUAAUACCGGAUAAUAUAUUGAACCGCAUGGGUCAAUAGUGAAAGACGGUUUUGCUGUCACUUAUAGAUGGAUCCGCGCCGCAUUAGCUAGUUGGUAAGGUAACGGCUUACCAAGGCAACGAUGCGUAGCCGACCUGAGAGGGUGAGCGGCCACACUGGAACUGAGACACGGUCCAGGCUCCUACGGGAGGCAGCAGUAGGGAAUCUUCCGCAAUGGGCGAAAGCCUGACGGAGCAACGCCGCGUGAGUGAUGAAGGUCUUCGGAUCGUAAAACUCUGUUAUUAGGGAAGAACAAAUGUGUAAGUAACUAUGCACGUCUUGACGGUACCUAAUCAGAAAGCCACGGCUAACUACGUG
rnacentral:rRNA from 1 species